CAGUAUCGUAGCCAAUGAGGUUUAUCCGAGGCGCGAUUAUUGCUAAUUGAAAACUUUUCCCAAUACCCCGCCAUGACGACUUGAAAUAUAGUCGGCAUUGGCAAUUUUUGACAGUCUCUACGGAGACUGAAUAAUUUUGUUUCUAAAGAAAGAUUGUUUUUGUUCUUUUGAAUCAUGAGUGUAGUAACCGAGUCCGCUCUGAAUACUUGAAUAGUCUUGUUCUUUAUACUUAUCGACUCUCAACUAUGUUGAGGGUCAGGUUUGUGAUUAUUUUUACUUCGAUGUAGGUAGGGUAUGGUUAAAUUGCUGAUUUUUCUAGGCGGAGCUGUAAUUUGGAGUCUUUGUACACUGCGUAAAUGUAGUACUACGUUUGAGAACUUUACAUCAUAGGAGGAGAGCAGAGGCAAACUUUACCAGAACCAACGGUGCAGUUUACCUUCAUUUCGGGACAUGCAGAACUGGGGAUUGAACUCAUGGCUGUUGCACCGAGCCACAUCUCCAGCCACCACCACCCCAACCUCUUUUAAAUUUUGAGACAGGAUCUUGUUAAAUUGCUAAACGGAAUUUGCAGUCCUCCUGCCUCAGCCUCCCAGAGUGCUGGGACUACAGGGAUGUGCCCCCAUGCCCAGCCCCGAAGGCCUCUUUUGCUGAAAAACAUUGACCCUUCACUUCAGCCUUCAGAGGUCUGAUGAGUGUUGCCCCUAACUUUAUCUCAGCAUUUGUUUUCUGGAGAGCCUAGCCUGACACAGAGGGAGUUGGUGGCUGGAUUCUUGAGGGACAGGGAGAGAUUGAAGCUGUGUCUGCAGAGCAUUUCAACUUAAAAUUGGCCAACUACCAUCACCUAUCCUAAAGUGUGAGGAAGGACAAUUAAUAACUACCUCAGUGGGAAUUAAUUUGAUAAUAGCUCAUCUGGGGACCCUUCCACCCUGUGCAGAAUCUUGGCAAAGACUCUAGGGACAGUGGAUUUGUGAAGACUAAAAGAUAUGUAACCUCACAAGUAUUGGAUUUGGGCUCAAAGGCUGGUCUGUGACCUGCACGGUCCACAGGGCAACCCCAGGAAAUGUCCUCCAAAGGAUCCGGCCCUUGCCUGGUACUGGUUUAGGGUCCUCCCGGGAGGGGACCUACUGGGAGAAUCAGACUUUCCAGUGGACACGGAGGCAUAUGAUGACCGAGUGACUGAUGAAUGGACCGACACAUCUGUCCGUUUGAAGGUCAGGAAGUGACUUUGAACGACAGAGACUAGCGGGAGGGCCUGAGGGCCUGGAGGCCUCCCGCAGGCCCACUCGUCCGCCAGGGGGCGCCACAGCCACGCCCCGCGUCGCC
ensembl:lncRNA